rnacentral:rRNA from 1 species
AACGAACGCUGGCGGCAUGCCUAACACAUGCAAGUCGAACGAGAACUUCGGGUCUAGUGGCGCACGGGUGCGUAACGCGUGGGAAUCUGCCCUUUGGUUCGGAAUAACAGUUGGAAACGACUGCUACUACAGAAUGAUGUCGAAAGUCCAAAGAUUUAUCGACAGAGGAUGAGCCCGCGUAGGAUUAGCUAGUUGGUGUGGUAAAGGCGCACCAAGGCGACGAUCCUUAGCUGGUCUGAGAGGAUGAUCAGCCACACUGGGACUGAGACACGGCCCAGACUCCUACGGGAGGCAGCAGUGGGGAAUAUUGGACAAUGGGCGAAAGCCUGAUCCAGCAAUGCCGCGUGAGUGAUGAAGGCCUUAGGGUUGUAAAGCUCUUUUACCCGGGAUGAUAAUGACAGUACCGGGAGAAUAAGCUCCGGCUAACUCCGUGCCAGCCGCCGCGGUAA